rnacentral:rRNA from 1 species
CGAACGCUGGCGGUGCGCCUUAUGCAUGCAAGUCGAGCGAAGCUUUUCAGUAGUUUACUACAGAAAAUGACUGAGCGGCGAACGGGUGAGUAACGCGUGAGCAACCUACCUUAGUUACUGGGAUAGCCCGAGGAAACUCGGAUUAAUACCGGAUAUUCUUAUUUAAUCACAUGAUUUUUUAAGGAAAGGUCAGCCGAACUAAGAUGGGCUCGCGUUCUAUCAGCUAGUUGGUAGGGUAAUGGCCUACCAAGGCUACGACGGAUAGCUGGUCUGAGAGGACGAUCAGCCACACUGGGACUGAGACACGGCCCAGACUCCUACGGGAGGCUGCAGCAGGGAAUAUUGUGCAAUGAACGAAAGUUUGACACAGCGACACCGCGUGUGGGAUGACGGAUCUAGGUUUGUAAACCACUUUCAGGAGGGAAGAAAAUGACGGUACCUCCACAAGAAGCCCCGGCCAACUACGU